rnacentral:rRNA from 1 species
UACGGAGGGUGCAAGCGUUAUCCGGAUUCACUGGGUUUUAAGGAUGCGUAGGUGGAUUGGUAAGUCAGUGGUGAAAUCCCCGAGCUUAACUUGGGAACUGCCAUUGAUACUAUCAAUCUUGAAUACCGUGGAGGUCAGCGGAAUAUGUCAUGUAGCGGUGAAAUGCUUAGAUAUGACAUAGAACAUCAAUUGCGAAGGCAGCUGGCUACGCGAAUAUUGACACUGAGGCACGAAAGCAUGGGGAUCAAACAGG